rnacentral:rRNA from 1 species
CAGGUAGGACUACCCGCUGAACUUAAGCAUAUCAAUAAGCGGAGGAAAAGAAACUAACAAGGAUUCCCCUAGUAACUGCGAGUGAAGCGGGAAAAGCUCAAAUUUAAAAUCUGGCAGUCUUUGGCUGUCCGAGUUGUAAUCAG